rnacentral:rRNA from 1 species
AGUGAACGCUGGCGGUAGGCCUAACACAUGCAAGUCGAACGGCAGCACAGUAAGAGCUUGCUCUUACGGGUGGCGAGUGGCGGACGGGUGAGGAAUACAUCGGAAUCUACUUUUUCGUGGGGGAUAACGUAGGGAAACUUACGCUAAUACCGCAUACGACCUACGGGUGAAAGCAGGGGAUCUUCGGACCUUGCGCGAUUGAAUGAGCCGAUGUCGGAUUAGCUAGUUGGCGGGGUAAAGGCCCACAAAGGCGACGAUCCGUAGCUGGUCUGAGAGGAUGAUCCGCCACACUGGCACUGAGACACAGUCCAGACUCCUACGGGAGGCAGCAGUGGGGAAUAUUGGACAAUGGGCGCAAGCCUGAUCCAGCCAUACCGCGUGAGUGAAGAAGGCCUUCGGGUUGUAAAGCCCUUUUGUUGGGAAAGAAAAGCAGCAGGUUAAUACCCCGCUGUUCUGACGGUACCCAAAGAAUAAGCACCGGCUCACUUCGUG